rnacentral:misc_RNA from 1 species
UUCUCAACUCAUUGGAAAGUGGUGCCAUUUAUACGUUAAUCUAGAGCUGUGAGAAAAUUGAUAGGUUAAAAGUAGCUUUGCAUAGACAACAUCUGCCAAGGAUAACAGCUUUGGAAAUUGGGCAGUUCUCUACCUAUUACCUCCAUACAAAGUGGACUUGUGACUGAGAUUCAGUUCUUGGUCACCAGUUCCAUAAAAAGUAUUUGUUUUAAUUCAAGAAUUCAAAUGAAGUCUUAAGCACUUUCGUGACGCUGUGGACAUUUUCUUUUUUUCACAAGAGUUCCAGAAAGUAUGUCUCAUUUGUCAUGGGAAGAGCAAAAUACUAGUGGAAACUUAAAUAGUUGGAAGAAGAAAAUUUCAGUGUU